UACGUAGGGAGCAAGCGUUGUCCGGAAUCAUUGGGCGUAAAGCGCGCGUAGGUGGCCUCAUAAGUCCGCUGUGAAAGUCAAAGGCUCAACCUUUGAAAGCCGGUGGAUACUGUGAGGCUAGAGUACGGAAGAGGCGAGUGGAAUUCCUGGUGUAGCGGUGGAAUGCGCAGAUAUCAGGAGGAACACCAGUAGCGAAGGCAGGUCGCUGGGACGUUACUGACACUGAGGGACGAAAGCUAGGGGAGCGAAUGGG
rnacentral:rRNA from 1 species